CUGUGCGGCAGCAGCUGUUCGGGUCCCGGCAUGGAGCGCGGCGGCCCCGCGCUGGAGCUGAAGCUCUGGGCGGCCCAGGAGAUGGGGCUGCCCCCCGCGAAGGUGCCCCCCGAUGGGGCCUUCCGCCGAGGUCUCCCUGGAGGCAGCCCAAGAGCGGAUCCACGACGCCCAGCGCCACUCCCUGCUGAUCAACGCCUAUGCGGCCCGCAUGGCCAAGGAGCACAAGCAGCUGCAGGGCAACGUGACACAGCUGGGAGGCGGCUGGAGCAGCUGCAGGACAUGAGCAGCCUGACGUGCGGACAGCCUGCCAGCUGCGCUUCCACUUCCUGA
rnacentral:lncRNA from 1 species